GAGAAUGUGAGGGGAGGUGCUAACCGUUGUCUCUCUCAACCACAGAAGAGCCUGCACAUGAGGCAGUGUAUCAGCCCUGGAACAUAGCAGAGCCCCUGGACACCUGGGACUUAUUCCUGAGCAACAGAUAAACAUUAUCUGGAGAGACAUCUGGACAAAGGCAUUUCUAAAGUGUCCCCAGGCAGAAUGAGAACAACUGGUCAAGGUCAUAAGAGGUACUGGAUUUCCUAGGACUGGAAUUGCAGAUGAUCGUGAGCUACCAAUGAGGAUGGUGGUACUUGAACCUGGGUCCUCUGGAAGAGCAGACUCACUCUUAGCUGCUCAGCCACCUCUCCAAGUCCCAUACGCUGGUUCUUUCAUAUUGCAGGUGGUCCUGAUCUCAACAAUCGUUCCCACAGCAGGAGGUGGUGAUGUCUCUGCCUUCACACCUGCCCCACAUCUGUCCUGACAAUUCUCUUCCAGUCAUUUGCCACUCUUCUCUGACAGCAAAGCACUUGAACUGACUGGGAGGUUGGGGGGCCACAUUAGCUUCAGGGAACCCACACACACUUCUGGGUCUGGCCACUAGACUAGCUCCGCCUCUGUUGGUGGGGUACACAGCUAGGGUGGGGAGAUUUGACUUGGAGAGGGGAGUUACUAGCACACCCAAGGGUAGCUGCACACUCCCAGCUGUAUUUUCCAAUUCAUUUCUAUCAGUAAUAAGUUUGAUUUAUGGAUUACUCAUGGUGUUUUCACUCUAUCUUUCCAUUGAUUCCAAAUUAGCAAAGGGCAGAGGGUUUAGACCUCAACCAUUCCAUGCAGCCCA